UGGGGAAUAUUGGACAAUGGGCGAAAGCCUGAUCCAGCCAUGCCGCGUGUGUGAAGAAGGUCUUCGGAUUGUAAAGCACUUUAAGUUGGGAGGAAGGGCAGUAAGCGAAUACCUUGCUGUUUUGACGUUACCGACAGAAUAAGCACCGGCUAACUCUGUGCCAGCAGCCGCGGUAAUACAGAGGGUGCAAGCGUUAAUCGGAAUUACUGGGCGUAAAGCGCGCGUAGGUGGUUCGUUAAGUUGAAUGUGAAAGCCCCGGGCUCAACCUGGGAACUGCAUCCAAAACUGGCGAGCUAGAGUAGGGCAGAGGGUGGUGGAAGUUCCUGUGUAGCGGUGAAAUGCGUAGUUAUAGGAAGGAACACCAGUGGCGAAGGCGACCACCUGGGCUCAUACUGACACUGAGGUGCGAAAGCGUGGGGAGCAAACAGG
rnacentral:rRNA from 1 species